rnacentral:sRNA from 1 species
GCUUCGGGUGCGGCUACCCCACCGCUCCCCCGCGACCGCUGCCGCGGUCCCGUGGCUCUUUCCCUGCUCACCUCCCAGGGACGGCAGAGAAGGGCUGGCCUGAGCACCGCCUUCGCGGCGCUGCCGGCGACGGUCGCUACUUUCAGCGCCAUGACGGAAAGCAGAGAAGACGCGAUGGCGGCGAUGGCAUCUCUCGGCGCCCUGGCGCUGCUCCUGCUGUCCAGCCUCUCCCGCUGCUCAGGGAUCUGCCUCCUGUGGUCCAGACCCAGAGCCUUCUCUGACGUCCUCUGCUGAAGCCAUCGUUCUGCCAGGGCACCACAUUUGGACAGCGGGUGGCUGAGAACGUUCCCACUUUGGGGAGCCUUUGUUUCACACCCUCUGAUGUAGGCGGCAGCCUUCCUUUCCUUUGGGCCUCUGGUUAUGGAGAAGGCUAAGGCAAGGUCCUUUCUCUCACAGCUAACAAGUUGUGCUUCUGGAACCAGAGUCUCUCCCGUUUGCUUCCUCAGGAAACGCUGGGGCCAGUCUUCACCUUCUGUCAACUGGCCGGGGGCAGAGACCCUUUCUCUCAUCUUGAAAGCCGCAGUGCAUUGCCUGCCUGCAGCCCCCACCCCCGAUGUCUCUGCUGAGGAUGCCUUCAGUAACUCGUCCAGGCCGUUUGUGGCUCUGAAUUGAGGCUGGCCUGGCCCCCGGGCCUCCGUGUCAUAGGUCCAAGUGUUGGCAUGUAUUGUCCAGUGAAUCCAGCCCCCACCUGCCCCCAGUUCGCUCUUCCUGCACACCUCCAGAAAGCCGGCCUUGCCCCUCCCCAGCCUUCCUUCACAGCCAUCCCGCCUACGUUGCCACUGCAUUUGUGACCGAGCACUUGGAUCUGUCUCGCAUAUCCCACCUGGAAGGGGCAGGAGGAUCGCGUGGGUCCCCAGCUGA